UACGUAGGGCGCAAGCGUUAUCCGGAAUUAUUGGGCGUAAAGAGCUCGUAGGCGGUUUGUCGCGUCUGCCGUGAAAGUCCGGGGCUCAACUCCGGAUCUGCGGUGGGUACGGGCAGACUAGAGUGAUGUAGGGGAGACUGGAAUUCCUGGUGUAGCGGUGAAAUGCGCAGAUAUCAGGAGGAACACCGAUGGCGAAGGCAGGUCUCUGGGCAUUUACUGACGCUGAGGAGCGAAAGUGUGGGGAGCGAACAGG
rnacentral:rRNA from 1 species